rnacentral:rRNA from 1 species
GACGAACGCUGGCGGCGUGCUUAACACAUGCAAGUCGAACGGAAAGGCCCUGCUUUUGUGGGGUGCUCGAGUGGCGAACGGGUGAGUAACACGUGAGUAACCUGCCCUUGACUUUGGGAUAACUUCAGGAAACUGGGGCUAAUACCGGAUAGGAGCUCCUGCUGCAUGGUGGGGGGUGGAAAGUUUCGGCGGUUGGGGAUGGACUCGCGGCUUAUCAGCUUGUUGGUGGGGUAGUGGCUUACCAAGGCUUUGACGGGUAGCCGGCCUGAGAGGGUGACCGGCCACAUUGGGACUGAGAUACGACCCAGACUCCUACGGGAGGCAGCAGUGGGGAAUAUUGCACAAUGGGCGGAAGCCUGAUGCAGCAACGCCGCGUGCGGGAUGACGGCCUUCGGGUUGUAAACCGCUUUCGCCUGUGACGAAGCGUGAGUGACGGUAAUGGGUAAAGAAGCACCGGCUAACUACGUG